UUGGCAUUGUGUGGAUUCUCAUGUAUUGU
rnacentral:piRNA from 1 species